rnacentral:tRNA from 1 species
CGAGAGGUUCAGAAGGUCUGCUAAAUCUUCAACCUGGAAAA